rnacentral:lncRNA from 1 species
CUACACUUGUUGUAUUCGGCGCAUGUGACAAAUAAAGUUUGAUUUGAUGUCAAAGUGUGUCAAAUAAGUUGAAAGCACCAUUUGUGGGUGUACCUAACCUUGACAACAGAGAAAGAGCUGGGAAUGGAUCAACGGUCCACCAAUCAGGGCCUUGAUGGGCUUGGCAACAUUAACAAAGGGUGAUGUGUUCAGGUUGGAAUGUUCUUGCAAUGUCACAUGAAAGGUGUCUAGAACAUAAAUAUCUUUAUUCUGAGGACAUGGCAACCAUGUUCUGUUAUGUUUGGUGUGACGUUGAUGGAAUAUUCUCCUUACUCUCAGAACACUGGACACAUGAAUGUUCUUGCAAUGUCCCAUUAAACAUGUCUAGAAUAUUAAUAUUGAAUGUUCUCCUAACUCCAAUGACAAAACAUGCUAAAUGGGUUCUCAGGAGGUUUUUGCUAACAUACAUAGAAUGUUCUCCUAACUAACAGAAAAUUGGACACUCAAACAUCAGGGGAACAUUACAAAAACAUUAUCUCUCCCUAGAAUUGUUAGUUGGGCCAAAACUAAAAUCUUGCUUAUGUUUAAGUAGUCUGUCCACGAGAGAUUAGAUUUCUACUAAUACGACUCGGUGCUUCCAAUGGCAAUGUCCGCGAUAGGAAUAAUGUCAGGAGCCGCUAGUGGAUUUGACAGUUCCAACGCAGUUACACCUCCGACACCACCCUAACAAAAUACAUUAUAUACUAUGAAGUUGUUGGUUUUUGCUGAACUGACUGAAUCUAGGCCUUACAGUAAUGAAACAACUGCCCCUGGCAAAAGUCCCCUCUAAACCAUCUGAACAAGAUGUGUUUGUGUUCAGUCACCAACCGGUCAACGAGACUGUGUGUAUGUGUCGGUGUGUGUGUAUGUGUCGGUGUGUGUGUAUGUGUCGGUGUCGGUGUCUGUGCGUGUCUUUGUUGAGGGGAUAUUAAUGUAGUAAAUAAUCGCUCUAAUAUUUAAUGAAUGCACACACACACACACACACACACACACACACACACACAACACUGAUUUCAUCCACAGAGGGUAGAAUGUGAUUACACAGGAGGCUUGAUCAUUUAAAAGCAUGUUAACAACCUGCUACAGAAUUACCAUCUCAUUAAGACCCACUCAGCAGGGCUAUCAGCACACACACACACACACUCAGCAGGGCUAUCAACGCGCGCACACACACACACGCACACGCACACAAAGACAUUGACGUACUGUGGGAAGAAAGAUGACAUUUAGCAUUAAUUUGAAGGUGUACGUUUUCCAUGAAACAGAUAGUACCUCUGGUUCCACUAAAGAGUUUUGUGUGAAAGUGUAUUAGAACCAUGUGGAGAAAUGACCGGUCAACAUUCUGUCGCCACCAUAUAAGUCUCCAUUCUGGAAUGUAAGCAUGGCUUUUCUGUUCUGUUCUAGAACCCUGGCCAAGCUCAUUCACAAUCUCAAUGCAUAAGACAUUGCUCCCUUCACAAAUCAAUUGAGGGCACUAUAUAGGGAAUAGGGUUACAUUUUGGAAGCAUCCCAUGUUUUCUCUGGUCUACAAAAGUGAACCACGGUCCAUAUACCGUAGAUGAGAGGGAUACAGGUAGGGGUGUAUGAGCUGACAGUGUGUAAACACUAGCUAACUGAGAGCUGUUGCCAGCCUGUAGUUGGGGAUAAGGAAGAGGGCAUCUAUAGUGUGUCUUAUUGACAAUUUAUGCAUCUCAAAUGGCACCCUAUUCCCCAUAUGGCUUACUACCUUUACUUAAAGGGGAAUUGGGCUCUGGUCAAAUGCAGUGCACAAUAUGUGGAAUUGGGCUCGGGUCAAAGUAAUGCACUAUAUAGGGAAUAGGGUGUCAUUUGGAGAAUUUGGGAAGGUCUCAACUGCAUACUCCUCGCAUACUCUCUCCUCAUUUCCUUCUCAAACCCAUUGGAUGAGAAAGCCAGAGGUCCCUCCACUCUGACCUCCAAUGGGUUUUGAGAAGAAGACAAGGCGAGAAGAGAGAAGAUGCAAGGAGUAUACAAUUGUCCCAUAAGGACAAUACAGAAAGGUCAGAGCUGUGUACCACUGUGGGUACUCUACAGGGGUGUUGAGACUGACCUAGACUUUAAUGUUUUACUCUACAAUCGCCUCAUGCACCACAAAGUCUGUUGCCUAGGUAACAGCUAGAAGUGCAUUCAGUGUUGCACUUCAAAACCAUUAUUCAUUUCACAUACAGUACCAGUCAAAAGUUUGGACACUCCUACUCAUUCAAGUGUUUUUCAUUAUUUUUACUAUUUUCUACAUUGUAGAAUAAUAGUGAAGACAUCAAAACUAUGAAAUAACACAUAUGGAAUCAUGUAGUAACCAAAAAAGUGUUAAACAAAUCAAAUAUCAUAUUUUAUAUUUGAGAUUCUUCAAAGUAGCCACCCUUUGCCUUGAUGAGAGCUUUGCACACUCUUGGCAUUCUCUCAACCAGCUUCAUGAGGUAGUCAACUGGAAUGCAUUUCAAUUAACAGGUGUGCCUUGUUAAAAGUUAAUUUGUGGAAUUUAUUCCAAUCUUAAUGCGUUUGAGCCAAUCAGUUGUGUUGUGACAAGGUAGGGGUGGUAUACAGAAGAUAGCACUAUUUGGUAAAAGACCAAGUCCAUAUUAUGGCAGGAACAGCUCAAAUAAGCAAAGAGAAAUGACAGUACAUAACUUUAAGACAUGAAGGUCAGUCAAUGCGGAACAUUUCAAGAACUUUGAACGUUUCUUCAAGUGCAGUCGCAAAAACCAUCAAUCGCUAUGAUGAAACUGGCUUUCAUGAGGACCGCCACAGGAAAGAAAGCCCCAGAGUUACCUCUGCUGCAGAGGAUAUGUUCAUUAGAGCUACCAGCCUCAGAAAUAGCAGCCCCAAUAAAAGCUUCAGAGUUUAACAGACACAUCUCAACAUCAACUGUUCAGAGGAGACUGCAUGAAUCAGGUCUUCAUGGUUAAAUUGCUGCAAAGAAACUUGCUUGGGCCAAGAAACACGAGCAAUGGACAAUCUGUUGUUUUGGUCUUAUGAGUCCAAAUUUGAGAUUUUUGGUUCCAACCGCCGUGUCUUUGUGAGACACAGAGUAGGUGAACAGAUGUUCCCACCGUGAAGCAUGGAGGACGAGGUGUGUGGGUGCUUUGCUGGUGACACUGUCUGUGAUUUAUUUAGAAUUCAAGGCACACUUAACCAGCAUGGCUACCACAGCAUUCAGCAGCGAUACGCCAUCCCAUCCUUUUUGUGCUUAGUGGGAUUCCUCAUUUGUUUUUCAACAGGACAAUGACCCAACACACCUCCAGGCUGUGUAAGGGCUAUUUGACCAAGAAGGAGAGUGAUGGAGUGCUGCAUCAGAUGACCUGGCCUCCACAAUCACCCGACCUCAACCCAAUUGAGAUCAAAUCAAAUUGUAUUUGUCACGUGCCAAAUACAACAGAUGUAGUAGACCUUACAGUGAAAUGCUUACUUACAAGCCCUUAACCAACAAUGCUGUUUUAAGAAAAUACCUAAAACAAGAAAUAAAACAAACAAAUAAUUACAUAACAGUAAGAUAACAAUAGGGAGGCUAUAUACAGGAGGUACUGGUACAGAUGGUUUGGGAUGAGUGUUCAACAUAUGUGGGAACUCCUUCAAGACUGUUGGAAAAGCAUUCCAGGUGAAGCUGGGUGAGAGAAUGCCAAGAGUGUGCAAAGCUGUCAUCAAGGCAAAGGGUGGCUACUUUGAAGAAUCUAAAAUCUAAAAUAUAUUUUGAUUUGUUUAACAUUUUUUUUUACGACCUGAUUCCAUAUGUAU